rnacentral:rRNA from 1 species
GACGAACGCUGGCAGCGUGCUUAACACAUGCAAGUCGAACGGAAAGGCCCUGCUUUUGUGGGGUGCUCGAGUGGCGAACGGGUGAGUAACACGUGAGUAACCUGCCCUUGACUUUGGGAUAACCUAAGACAACUGGGUCUAAUACCGGAUAGGAGCUCCUGCUGCAUGGUGGGGGUUGGAAAGUUUCGGCGGUUGGGGAUGGACUCGCGGCGUAGCAGUUUGUUGGUGGGGUAGUGGCUUACCAAGGCUUUGACGGGUAGCCGGCCGGGGAGGGUGACCGGCCACAUUGGGACUGAGAUACGGCCCAGACUCCUACGGGAGGCAGGAGGGGGGAAUAUUGCGCAAUGGGCGGAAGCCUGAUGCAGCAACGCCGCGUGCGGGAUGACGGCCUUCGGGUUGUAAACCGCUUUCGCCUGUGACGAAGCGUGAGUGACGGUAAUGGGUAAAGAAGCACCGGCUAACUACGUG